UUUCCCACCUUCCCAUCUCCACACUUGCAGCCAGCAGCACAAAAAGGGAGAAAUGACUCCAAGAAGCAGGUGUCAGUGGUUAAGGAGUGUCCUGGCUGGCAUUGCUGGUGGAGCAAGGUGCAGGACCUGAGGCUGUGACCUUUCUAGGAUGAGUGAUCCAACCCUGAGCACAGCCCUGCAAGGACAAGAAAGCUGCGAAGCACAGUGAGUCACACAACCAAGGUCACAACCAUGCACAAUGACACUUUGCAUCUGAUGGGUCCCUGUCUCUGCUGGCUGCACCACAGAAGACAACAUGGUCCUUCAGGACUAUAAGGUCAGCAGGAAGCCACCAGCUUCUCCCAUUUUCCAGGAACAGUUCAUCAUGGAUGCUCCUGAGAAGCUUGGUGCUGCAGGAUGGGCAUGCAGGGACACCAGGAAUCUGUUGCCUUUGCACUCCACAGCCAUUUGCCUUCAAGGUAACAUUAAUAGGGGUAUUUUCAAGAGGUUGGGGGUGGGGGAAACCCUUGGCAGUUGAAAAGGCUUCUGAGAUGGGCGUUGUUUAGAGACACACAAGAAGCACAAUUAGGAUUUUAUUGCUUGGCUGCUCCCUCCUCUGUGUGUUCAUAAACAACCUAAAUGUCUUUAAAACCAAGUAAAAGCCACCUCUGCAGCCCUGCUGGCUC